rnacentral:lncRNA from 10 species
GAACACUGCUUUGCUCUGCAGCAGGGGAGCCAUCUAGCUGGAGCUCUGGCCAGAUUGCCCACAAACUCACCUGUGUUGCCUCCUCGAUGGGAAAAGAAACAAGCGCACUAAUGGUGCAUUUCUGUGGAGAGGAGAUAAGUGUCCUAAUUAGGAAGGCUCUGAAAAUGAGUGAUUGAGGCAUUAUUGGAUCUGAUUUGGGGAGCACUACAGUCUAAAGCCUGAAUGCAUUAAACAAGAGUGAAUUAGAGUCAAAGGGUUUGUUAGGCAGAAAGAAAAAAGUGGAAAGUCUGUGGGGGAAGAAAAUCCUUAAUUGAGUUUUCUAUUGAAAUAACCAAUAACUUAAAAGUGCAAGAGGGAGGCAGAAGAGAGGGUCAGAAUGAUGAGAGGUCAGGACUUCACCCACCAUUGUUGUAUCUGCAGAUGGAGGAAGGGCACGGGAGCCAGGCAUGCGGGUGGCUUUUGAGAGCUAGGAGAGGAAAGGAAGUGGAUAUCCCUGUAGAGCACUCAGAAAAGAAUGUGUCCCUGCCUACGCCCUAACUUUAGUGCAGUGAGAUCCAUGUCAACAUUUUAACUUUUAGAACUGUCAGGUAACGAAUUUGUAUUGUUUUAAGCCACUACCUCUUUGGUCAUUUGUUAGAUAACAGCAAUAGAAAAUGAAUACAUUCAUCUCAAGUAUCAUUCUCCCUCCAACAACCAGAGGGGUCUUGCCAAAACCUUGGAAAAUUCAUGUGCCUUUUCUGCUUGCAACCCUCCAAAUGCAUCAUUUUCACUCAGAGGACUCCAGAGUCCAACAAUGGCCCUCAGGGCACUGUGGGAUCUGGCUCUGCCACCUCUCUGGCCCUAGCUCUGUAAAUCUUCCCUCUUUUGCUCCAUGGCCAUUCCUCAGACACGUCAAGCUGUCUCCUCACUGCAGGUUCUUUGGCUCAACUCAGGUUCCCUCUACCUGAAAUGAUCCACCUUCAGAGAAUUGGAUGGUGAGUAAACACAAUUAAAGAAGUUGGCCAGGCCUGGUGGCUCAUGCCUGUAAUCCCAACACUUGGGGAGGCCGAGGCGGGCGGAUCAUCUGAGGUCAGGAGUUUGAGACCAGCCUGGCUAACAUGGCAAAACCCUGUCUCUACUAAAAAUUAAAAAAUUAGCCAGGUGUGGUGGUGCGUGCCAGUAAUCCCAGCUACUCGGGAGGCUGAGGCAGGAGAAUUGCUUGGACCUGGGAGGCAGAGGUUGCAGUGAGCUGAGAUUGCACCACUGUACUCCAGCCUGGGUGACAGAGCAAGACUCUGUCUCAAAAAAAAAGUUAAUCUAUGUGAACAAUUUAAGACUGUACUAGCUUCAGCUAGCAAGUAACUGUCUUAAUAACUGUCUCAGCUCAUCUGUGUGGCUCACUGUGACUUCCUGUCUCUGCUCAGCUUAGCACCGUCAUUCUCCAUCAUUUAUCACAUUUUCCACUCUAUACUUAUCACUCUCUGAUAUGUUAAGUAUUUAUUGGCUAGUUUUUAUUUUCUCCUCUAGUAGACUGUACACUCUAUGAGAGCAGGAACUUUGUUUUGUCCACUGUUGAACUCUCAGCCACUGGGAGACUGUGUAGCACCGGUAGGCUCCUAGUGUUUGAGAAUUAAUUCAUUCCCACCAGGAAUGCUGAAAAAGGGUACAUCUACAGUGAAUCUGAGGUUGAACUGAGACCUCUAAGUUUAUUUUCAUCUCGAAGUUGAAGACAUUGCUAAUUUUUUCUUUUCUUUUCCUUUCUUUUUUUUUUUUUGAGGCAGAGUUUGGCUCUGCCACCCAGGCUGGAGUGCAGUGGUGUGAUCUUGGCUCACUGCACCCUCCGCCUCCCGGGUUCAAGUGAUUCUCAUGCCUCAGCCUCUCGAGCAGCUGGGAUUACAGGUGCCCGCCAUGACACCCAGCUAAUAUUUUUGUAUUUUUACUAGAGAUGGGGAUUCACCCUGUUGGCCAGGCUGGUCACGAACUCCUGAUCUCAGAUGAUCCACCCACCUUGGCUUCCCAAAGUGCUGGGAUUAUAGGUGUGAGCCAUUGUGCCCGGCCAUGGUGCUCAUUUUCAUAAAGCCAAUAAGAGGUAGAACCAGCACUUGAAUUUUGAUUUUUUUUUUGUUUGUUUAAGGCAAAGUUUGUCACAGGUAUUUUCUCAUGUUGCCUCUAGCUGAUGCCUUUCCCAGCAGGGCUCUCCCAUGGGACUUCUUGGUUUCACCAUGUUUCUACCUCUGGGAAACAUAUCGCACUUGCCUGAGUCCUUAAGCACCUGCUUGCUGCCAUGUGAUAGUUGUUACUCAUGCCUUAAUAAAACAAUCACAUACACUUAGGAAGCAUGCAGCUCUAAUGGAGCUCAAAAGGUACAUGGCCUCAGAACACCUCAAAAGGUACAAAAUUUUGGCCAUGAGAUGAGGCUGGCGGGAGGGAAUGGCUUGAAAGGAGUGUCUCCAUAUCGUAUCACACAAAGAGUUGGUAUUUGGAGCUCCUGACACUUGAGCUGUGAUUUUUCAGUCGUUCUGUAGAAACUGCAAAAUGUAGGAUAUGACCUAUUUGAGAUUGAAGUCCUGCAGUGGUAUAGGCCAUUGAUAGUCAUCUUAUUGGAAGAUAUUUGUCCCUGGAUCUUGGUGGCAUUUUUUUGCCACAUGCAGACUUUGUGUACACAGAAAUACUGGGUCAAUUAUUUUGAAUAAACUGACUUGCUUAGUCUCUUUUGUGUUGCUUUAUAUAAAGGAAUACCUGGAGCUGGAUAAUGUAUAAAGAAAACAGAUUUAUUUGGCUCAUAAUUCUGUAGGCUGUAUGAGAAGAGUGGCACCAGCAUCUGCUUCUUGUCAGGGCUUCAAACUGCUUCUACUCAUGGUGGAAGGCAAACGGAAGCCAGAAUAUCAUAUGGCAAGAGAGGGAGCAAUAGAGUAGGAAAGCGCUAGUCUCUUUUUAACAAUCAGUUCUUGCAGUAACUAAUAGAACAAGAAAUCACUGAAGAUGGUGACGAUAGCCUCAAGCCUUUCACGAGUGAUCCGCCUCCAUGACGCAACAGCUCCCACCAGAUCCCAACCCUAAAUUUGGGGAUCAAAUUUCAACAUGAGGUUUGGAGGGAACAAAUAUCUAAACUAUAUCACUGACUAUUCGGGCUAUUGAUAGAUUUUUUUAAAUAAAAUAAAUGAUGGUGUAUUUGAUUGGAUUAAGAAAAUCAAGGCUGGGUAUGGUGACUCACACCUGUAAUCCUACCACUUUGGGAGGCUGAGGCAGGAGAAUUGCUUGAGGCCAGGGGUUCAAGACCAGCCUGGGCAGCAUAGGGAGACCCCUAUCUCUACGAAAAGGAGGAGGAGGAGGAAGGGGAGGAGAAGAUGGAGAGGAGGAGGGGGAGGAGAAGAAGAAGAGGAGGAGGAGGAGAAGGAGGGGAGGAGGAAGGGGAAGAGAGGAGGGAAAGGGGAUGGGGGACAGGAGGAGGGAGCUAGGAGGUGGAGAAAAAAGAAAAAGAGGAGGAAGAAGAAAUGAAAAAGGAAAAUCAACUGGUUGUCUAAAAUGUCAAUCAGCAUUUUGGUGCAGAUAAUAAACACCACUUUUUAAAAUAUUUUCUUUCUUUUUAUUGUGGUAAAAUAUACAUAACAUUUACCACUUUAAUAAUUUUUAGGUGUACAAUUCAGUAGCAUUAAGUACAUCUACAGUGUUGUGCAGCCAUCACCACUAUUCAUUUCCAGAACUUGUCCAUUGUUUGAAACAGAAACUCUGUACCCAUUAAGAAAAACUGCCCAUAGCCCCCUCCUCCCAGCUCCUGGUAACCACCAUUCUACUUUGUGUCUCUAUGAAUUUUCCUAUUCUAGGUAAUCUAUAUAAUGGGAAUCAUGCAGUAUGGGUCCUAUUGUGUCUGACUUACUUCACUUAAUAUGCUGUUUUCAAGGUUCAUUUAUAGUGUAGAAUGUAUCUGAACUUCACUCAUUUUAAAGACUGAAUACUUUUCCGUUUAUGUAUAGAUCACAUUUUGUUGUCCACUUGCCUGUUGAUGGACAUUUGGAUUUCCACUUUUUGGUACUGCAGGUAACAUUGCUAUGAACAUUGCUGUACAAGCAUCCGUUUGAGCCAUUGCUUUCAGUUCUUUUGGGUGUAUACCUAGAAGUGGAAGUGCUGGUUCAUACAGUUUAACUUAACUCUAUGUGUAACUUUUAAGGAACUGCCAAACAGUUUUCCACAGCAGCUGCACCACUUUCUGUUCCCAACAGCAACGCACAAGUGUUCCAAUGUCACCACAUCCUUGAAAGCACUUGUCAUUAUUAUUUAUUUUUUUUUAGGAUAAUAGUCAUCCUUAUGGAUCUGAAAUGGUACUUCAUUGUGGUUUUGGUUAUCAUUUCCCCAACAGCUAGUGAUGUUGAACAUCUUUUCAUGUGCUUACUUAACAUUUGUGUAUCUUCUUUGGAGAAAUACCUGUAUAAGUCUUUCGUCCAUUUUUGAAUUGAGUUAUUUGGUUUUGGUUGUGUUUGUUCAGUUUUAUGAGUACUUCGUGUGUUCUGAAUGUUAAUCUUCUCAAAGUUUCAUAGUUUUAGCUCUUACAUUUGGGACUUUGAUCUAUUUUAUUUAUUUAUUUAUUGAGACGGAGUCUCGCUCUUUCUCCCAGGCUGGAGUGCAGUGGUGCGAUCUCGGCUCACUGCAAGCUCCGCCUCCAGGGUUCACGCCAUUCUCCUGCCUCAGCCUCCCGAGUAGCUGGGACUGCAGGCGCCCGCCAUCACGCCCUGCUAAUUUUUUUGUAUUUUUUUGUAGAGACGGGUUUUCACUGUGUUAGCCAGGAUGGUCUCGAUCUCCUGACCUCAUCAUCCGCCCGCCUCGGCCUCCCAAAGUGCUGGGACUACAGGCGUGAGCCACCGCACCUGGCCAGGACCUGGAUCUAUUUUAGAUUAGUUUUCGUAUGUGUUGUAAGGUAAAAGUCCAACUUCAUUCUUUUGCGUUUGGAUAUUCAUUUUUUUGCAGCAUCAUUUAUUCCAAAGAUGAACCUUACCCAAUUGAACGGGCUUUGCACCAUUGUUGACAAUCAAUUGACUAUAUACGUGAAGGUUUAUUUCUGGGCUGUAUU